AGGAGGAGUUGCACAGUUUCUUUGUAUUCACUUAAGGCUUUGAGGGGGUGAGGGUGGGAAAGAAAUUCUUUCUCAAAAGUAGAAGAAAAGUUUCUUUUAAAAGUAGGAGAGAAUUUUUAUCAUGAGAGAGAAAAAAUCAUAUCACCAGAAAUCAUUCAGAGCCACGCAUGCGAUCGAAGCCUGGAAGGAGAACUCAGGAUUCUUUUAAUCCAACCACCUGACUGCAUUCAGGACUUUCUCCAGGCAUUUUUCUAAGAGAAGGAAAUGGCAACCUACUCCAGUAUUCUUACCUGGAAAAUUCCAUGAACAGAGGAGCCUGGUGGACUACAGCCUAUGGGGUUGCAGAAGUAUCAGACAUGACUGAGAGGCUAAACAACGAAAAUAAUACUCUUUUCAAUAAUCUUUCUUAAUUCUUUAAGUCACUCUCCAUAAAGAUCUACAGAGCAGGUCACCAACUGUGACCGUCAACUCCGGCAUCAUUGCAUCAGCACCCAGGAGCUGAUCAAUUAAUGUGCCUGAAGGCUUUCCUGAUCUCUUCCUGAAAAUUAUCCCUGUGUAGUGUUAACUUCAGAGGUGAUUCCUUGGCUGCUCCUCUCUUGAUCAGCAACUGUUCACAUCUGCCCUUUGGAACUCAGAGAAAAGUCACAAUGGCUGGAAUCUUACAUACAAGAAAUGGGGGACAGCAAGGCCUCCUUGCCUCUGUGGAAUCCCACAGAACCCCACUCAGUUUCACAUAUGAGUGUAUAAAUGGGGCGCAGGAAGUGAGAAGAGACUGGAGCACAUGAAUUCCAGAAGGAAUAAGCAAUGUAUUAUUUCAAAUCUACAAACUACCAUAAUGUUUUUCAUAUUUCCUCCAUACAUUUAAAUCUUCUGAUUUGCUGACUUGAGAAUCAAGCUGUUAACAAUGAUAAGCAUUCCCACGUUUGCAAAGAAAAUGAUUGGUAACAGAGAAGAAAUCAUGUGGACAAAUCCCCAUGGACAAAUCCCCAAAAUCAACCAUGAGCUGUUGUAACUACAAGGAGCAGGUUCUCAGAUCACCUGCAGGAACGUUAUGACCCAACUGAGACAGUGCUGUCUGGGCCUGUACUACUUGAAAAAGGCAAAUUGAAUAAAGGGGGCUUUCUGAGUGGUUCUCAUUCUUGCCUGGAGAAUCCCAGGGAUGGAGGAGCCUGGUGGGCUGCCGUCUAAGGGAUUGCACAGAGUCAGACACUGAAGCAACUUAGCAGCAGCAGCAUUACUGAAAGCUUACAAUCCAGAAUGUAACUGGAAUCUUCAGUCAGCUGUAGAUUCUCGAGGUCAAAAGGAGUCAUGCAUGAGAUUUUUAACUCUCUAUGACCGUUUCUUCAUAGGUAUUCUUCCACUUCGGCACGCACCACAGCUCCAGCUACUCUUGAGUACACUUUGAACAAAUACUGCCUUGGGCUUCCUAGGUGGCUCAGUGGUAAAGAAUCUGCCUGCCAACACAGGAGAUGAAGGUUCUAUCUCUGGGUCAGGAAGAUCCUCUGAAGAAGGGAAUGGCAACCCACUCCAGUGUUCUUGCCUGGGAAAUCUCAUGGACAGAGAAGUCUGGUGGGCUACAGUCCAUGGGGUCACAAAGAUGUCAGACGCAUCUUAGAGGCUAAACAACAAUCAACACUGCCUUACAUAUUUAGCUUUCACUCCUCUUGAUUCAGAAACCAGAUGUGACCUGAUGAAGAUUUUGUCUCUGUUAGAUAAACUGUGAUUCUUCAGCUUGUUCACAUGACAGCAGAUUACGACAGCGGAUUUCAACAGCGAGUUGACGCAGAAGAAACACUAAGUGGAAGGACAUUAAUUUUCAUUCAGCCCGAUCUUACAGGCUUUGGGGAAAACCAGGUACCAGCCAUCCACUUUCUCUCCUGCUUACUCAUUGCCCUACUACCAGACUUGUUCCCAGUGUAUUAACUCCUUUGCUUCUCUCUAAAGUAUACAUGAAACCCUAAUCUGAAGGUGUAGCAUUGUGCAGGCAUGGAAAGUUGGUCCCCUAGCUGAGUGUAGGGUCAUGUUUAAGGGCAGGCAAAAGCCUGACUUCUGCACACACCCAGACACACGGAGACUUGGAUAUCCUUAGUCGACAGUUGCCUAGGUGGAACUGAAUAUACUUAAGAGCUAUUGCUGACUCAUGGCAAGAGUGGCUAAUGAUUGUGAAUCAGAGGUUUUCUACUUGUGCUAUGCUAUGCUUAGUUGCUCAGUCAUGUCGACUCUGUGAUCCUGUGGACUAUAGCCAGCUAGGUUCCUCUGUCCAUGGGGAUUCUCCAGGCAAGAACACUGGAAUGGGUUGCCAUGCCCUUCUCCAGGGUAUCUUCCUACUUGAGCAGGCAAUAGUCUUGGCAAGAGUCAAAUUGUAGAAAUCAUUUGAAAUAUGGAAUGUUUCUUACAUGUAUAAUCAUAUAAAUUCUGUUGUUUCGCAUUAAUAAGUCCUAAAGGAGAGGCAAGGGGACAACUCUGAAGAGGUAUAAGAGGUACUUUUUGAGAGUCUGAGGAAAUAUCAAACUCAAAAUUAAUAUAUUAGUGGUUCUGUCACCUACUGUGAAAUUAAGUUUUGUUUUGUUUUUUAAUUUUUCAGCCCUGCCUCACAGCAUAUGGGCUCUUAGUUCCCAGCCAGGGAUCAAACCUAUGUCCCCUCUACUGGAACCACAGAUCCUUAACCA